rnacentral:rRNA from 1 species
UACGAAGGGGGCUAGCGUUGUUCGGAAUUACUGGGCGUAAAGCGCGCGUAGGCGGUUACUUAAGUCGGAUGUGAAAGCCCUCGGCUUAACUGAGGAAGUGCACCCGAAACUGAGUAGCUAGAGUACGAAAGAGGGUCGCGGAAUUCCCGGUGUAGAGGUGAAAUUCGUAGAUAUCGGGAGGAACACCGGUGGCGAAGGCGGCGACCUGGGUCGAGACUGACGCUGAGGCGCGAAAGCGUGGGGAGCAAACCGG